UACAGAGGUGGCAAGCGUUGUUCGGAAUUACUGGGCGUAAAGGGCGCGUAGGCGGUUCGGUAAGUCCUGUGUGAAAUCCCUCGGCUCAACUGAGGAACUGCACGGGAGACUGCCGGGCUUGAGUUCGGGAGAGGGAAGCGGAAUUCCGGGUGGUAGCGGUGAAAUGCGUAGAUAUCCGGAGGAACACCGGUGGCGAAGGCGGCUUCCUGGACCGACACUGACGCUGAGGCGCGAAAGCUAGGGGAGCAAACGGG
rnacentral:rRNA from 1 species